UACGGAGGGUGCGAGCGUUAAUCGGAAUUACUGGGCGUAAAGGGUGCGUAGGUGGUUUAGUAAGUUAGUUGUGAAAUCCCUGGGCUCAACCUGGGAAUUGCACCUAAGACUGUUAGACUUGAGUAUGGGAGAGGGUAGUGGAAUUUCCGGUGUAGCGGUGAAAUGCGUAGAGAUCGGAAGGAACACCAGUGGCGAAGGCGGCUACCUGGCCUAAUACUGACACUGAGGCACGAAAGCGUGGGGAG
rnacentral:rRNA from 1 species